rnacentral:rRNA from 1 species
GAUGAACGCUAGCUACAGGCUUAACACAUGCAAGUCGAGGGGCAGCAUGAUUGAAGCUUGCUUCAAUCGAUGGCGACCGGCGCACGGGUGAGUAACACGUAUCCAACCUGCCGAUAACUCGGGGAUAGCCUUUCGAAAGAAAGAUUAAUACCCGAUAGUAUAGUAUUUCCGCAUGGUUUCACUAUUAAAGAACUUCGGUUAUCGAUGGGGAUGCGUUCCAUUAGAUAGUUGGCGGGGUAACGGCCCACCAAGUCAACGAUGGAUAGGGGUUCUGAGAGGAAGGUCCCCCACAUUGGAACUGAGACACGGGCCAAACUCCUACGGGAGGCAGCAGUGAGGAAGAUUGGUCAAUGGACGAGAGUCUGAACCAGCCAAGUAGCGUGAAGGAUGACUGCCCUAUGGGUUGUAAACUUCUUUUAUACGGGAAUAAAGUGGAGUAUGCAUACUCCUUUGUAUGUACCGUAUGAAUAAGGAUCGGCUAACUCCGUG